UAAUAGUGUGUUUUUUGAAGCAGUUGCUUCUAAUGAAGUAUCAUAUAUUUCUACUUACUGUUAUUUUAUCCCUUAUUAUAGGAUUUUUAUAGAUAAGCUAAAAGAUAACUUAGUUCACUAGUUCCAUCCCUACACAUGUUCAUUAGGUUUCUAAGCAUGUACUCUCAAAGCUAAAAACAAUUCUCAUGCUUUUAAUCAUUUAUUUUUGCCAUUAAGAUAACUAACACAUACUUUUCAUGUGUAGGUGUG
rnacentral:misc_RNA from 1 species